UACGGGGGGAGCAAGCGUUGUUCGGAUUUACUGGGCGUAAAGGGCGCGUAGGCGGCCAGCACAAGUCAGUUGUGAAAUCUCCGAGCUUAACUCGGAAAGGUCAACUGAUACUGUGCGGCUAGAGUCCGGAAGAGGCGAGUGGAACUCCUGGUGUAGCGGUGAAAUGCGCAGAUAUCAGGAGGAACACCAAUGGCGAAGGCAGCUCGCUGGGACGUGACUGACGCUGAGACGCGAAAGCGUGGGGAGCAAACAGG
rnacentral:rRNA from 1 species